rnacentral:rRNA from 1 species
GAUGAACGCUGGCGGCGUGCCUAAUACAUGCAAGUCGAGCGAACGGACGAGAAGCUUGCUUUUCUGAUGUUAGCGGCGGACGGGUGAGUAACACGUGGAUAACCUACCUAUAAGACUGGGAUAACUUCGGGAAACCGGAGCUAAUAUCGGAUAAUAUUUUGAACCGCAUGGUUCAAAAGUGAAAGACGGUCUUGCUGUCACUUAUAGAUGGAUCCGCGCUGCAUUAGCUAGUUGGUAAGGUAACGGCUUACCAAGGCAACGAUGCAUAGCCGACCUGAGAGGGUGAUCGGCCACACUGGAACUGAGACACGGUCCAGACUCCUACGGGAGGCAGCAGUAGGGAAUCUUCCGCAAAGGGCGAAAGCCUGACGGAACAACGCCGCGUGAGUGAUGAAGGUCUUCGGAUCGUAAAACUCUGUUAUUAGGGAAGAACAUAUGUGUAAGUAACUGUGCACAUCUUGACGGUACCUAAUCAGAAAGCCACGGCUAACUACGUG